rnacentral:rRNA from 1 species
AUUGAACGCUGGCGGCAGGCCUAACACAUGCAAGUCGAGCGGAUGAAGGGAGCUUGCUCCUGGAUUCAGCGGCGGACGGGUGAGUAAUGCCUAGGAAUCUGCCUGGUAGUGGGGGAUAACGUCCGGAAACGGGCGCUAAUACCGCAUACGUCCUGAGGGAGAAAGUGGGGGAUCUUCGGACCUCACGCUAUCAGAUGAGCCUAGGUCGGAUUAGCUAGUUGGUGGGGUAAAGGCCUACCAAGGCGACGAUCCGUAACUGGUCUGAGAGGAUGAUCAGUCACACGGGAACUGAGACACGGUCCAGACCCCUGAGGGAGGCAGCAGUGGGGAAUAUUGGACAAUGGGCGAAAGCCUGAUCCAGCCAUGCCGCGUGUGUGAAGAAGGUCUUCGGAGUGUAAAGCACUUUAAGUUGGGAGGAAGGGCAGUAAGUUAAUACCUUGCUGUUUUGACGUUACCUACAGAAUAAGCACCGGCUAACUUCGUG